GCAGGCGUGCUGCUCCAUAUAAAGGCUGCUGCUGCAAGUAUGCGGGUUAAUCAGAUGUAGAGUAAAAAAGUGAUUCAAGGCUUUAUGGUGAUUUUAAUUAGUGUAUGCAGACAAAAGGACACAAUGGGAGGUUGUGCGGUGCUGCGCUGUUUUGGCGUGGUGCGACUUUGCUGCGCCAUCUGGCUGGCCCAUUAUUCAUGCUGAAGAGGAUUUCCUGUGAAGACGAUGGUGACGGUGGUUUUCACAGGGUGUGGGUCUGUGACGCAGCUCGCCGAAUUUGCGAACAAAUGAACUCGCAGCAGCAAAUUCUGCCAGUGUCUUCAUGUGACAGGACAUCCACUGGCACUCUUACCUCCACCUGCUCCUGAAGGUCUACAUCCCCUCCAGGAGUCGGUCCUUCUGGUCGUUGUACAGGCGGGUGACCCUCUCCAUCAACUCCCAUUUCUCACAGCAGCCCUUGUAGUCGACAAAGUUUCG